UCUCGAACAUUUCGUUUUAUCUACCUUUGUCCUUAGAUCACGUGAUUUCCUAAAAAGAUUGAAGUCGAUGAAAAUUCAACCAUGUUCAGAUUUUGAACACAAAUAAAGUUUGCGUGUUCGGGAUACAAUAUUUCAAAAUAAAGAAACUUGAGAAAGCGUCAUUUUGUUUUAUUCGAGUGUCAAGAGUUUUCUUAAAAGAUUCGGUGUCGAUGACAAAGACAAUAUACUUAUCCAAUUAAAGGUCAAUCGUCGACUAUAGCAAGUUUUUAUUAUAAACAUGUUUUAGAGAUUUUACUCUGUAUUUCCCUCAAAUAUAACGUGAUAUGAUCAAAACAAUAUAAAGUAUAUAGAUUGUCCUAUUUAGAUCACCUAUAUCAUGCAAAAAAGAAAGAUGUAAUUUGCAAUGAUCAAGCAUCUAAUUGCAUCUAACUUGAGCUCAAUACCAUCACCACAGCGUCUAAUCAGAGCUUUAAACUCUCUAUAAAGCGAUACGAGCUACCUAAACUUAAUGAUCGAUUAUAUAUUUCAUCAUGAAAGGUAUAACAUUUUGUAAAUGAAAACGUAUUGAUUUAUUUUGAGAUAUGGGAAAGUACAUAACAUGAUUGCCACUCUUGAAGACAUUUAUUUGUUGGGAUGGUUAAAGUAGGAGAAACUUUUUGCGUGUUGUAGCUAAUGGGUGUGAGUGUAAUCGACAUGGAUAUUAAUGUUCCUUGAAUAUUUAUUUAAAGUACGGUGUAUAUGCCAAGUGGCAGUUGGACUCAGCGUAUUACAGAUAUUUGAUGAAAUAACGAAGGAUAAAAGUUACGCCGACAAAUAACUACCAACAGAGUCUUUCAGUUCAAAAAUCAGGUUAUGACAUUCAUCAAUAUUGGAUAAUGUAAUGAAGAUAAAAAUACACAUCGGAUGAUGGGAAUACUUUGAAUAUGAACUGUUUUAAACUUAAUGUCGUAUUUUGAAAUUGUGUUGCCAGGAAAGGGAAUAUAUAGCAGCUGUUUAAUGAUGAUAAAGCAAAAUGUAGCCAUUUCAAAGUCGUGUCUUUGUAACUUCACCAAUGCCGGUAUCUUUUGAAAUCUUUGACAAGGAACUUACUUACUUGAAAACGUGAUUUUGCAGCGGUUCCCGUAAGGAAAGUUGUAGAAAAAACUGGGUUUUUUUCAUUUCUUCGAGAAAAGUAGUCGGACGAAUUUGUUUGGAAAUGACCUUUUAGUAAAAACUAAACCCACAGAACUCUAAUCACAUCAAUCUGGAAAUUUAAAAUAUCCUAGCUUGCCGUAUGCACAGCACGAAAAUAUAUUUUGUGAGACUAGACAUGGAGAAAAUAUUGGCAUUUAGAUCACAGAAGAAUGUACAUUGUAUAUGUGUACACCCACGUCAAUUAUGUGAAUGAAACCGACAAAAAAACAAUUCGUCGGUUUCGCUGUUUAUACUUCAAUAUACUUAAUCAAUAUACUCAAUAAAUAUAUAUAAUAUAAAUAUAAAUUUCUUUCGGUGUAACCCUGGUGAAUUUUACCAAUAUUUAAUGUUUGCUCACUUGCGUAGGAGUAGCAUGGACUACAAGUAUUUAGGAUGUACUUAAGAUAUUUGGCGCUCUCUGCUAUGAAUUACACGCGGGCACGAAUUACAUGACGAAGAUAAAAUUACACACAACAUUUACACCUGAGUGGAUGGUUUGAACCCGGAAGUAUCGUUACAAGUUUCUUAAUGUUGAUCUUCGGAGUCGAGAUGACUACCUGUUGUCGAAACGUCAGUCAACUUAAACAUCAACAGUCUAUCUCGGGACUGUACUAACCUGGAUGAUCCAUUUCUAUACAAAACACACUUUUUAGAAUUGGUUUCAUCUGAGUUGUGUAUAAUCUUAGCAUGUCGACAUAUUGUAUGGUCUAUUGGCGUUACAGUUAAUUCAAAUACCAUCUACGUAUCUUAUUUUGUGUUAACGAUUUAUGACUCGAUUUUGCUCAGUAAUAUAUAUGUAAUAUGUAUUAGUAUGUAUUCAACAAUUGUAGUUUUUAAACAUGGACCGUAUAGCAAUAA